GACGAACGCUGGCGGCGUGCUUAACACAUGCAAGUCGAACGGAAAGGCCCUGCUUUUGUGGGGUGCUCGAGUGGCGAACGGGUGAGUAACACGUGAGUAACCUGCCCUUGACUUUGGGAUAACUCCAGGAAACUGGGGCUAAUACCGGAUAGGAGCUCCUGCUGCAUGGUGGGGGUUGGAAAGUUUCGGCGGUUGGGGAUGGACUCGCGGCUUAUCAGCUUGUUGGUGGGGUAGUGGCUUACCAAGGCUUUGACGGGUAGCCGGCCUGAAAGGGUGACCGGCCACAUUGGGACUGAGAUACGGCCCAGACUCCUACGGGAGGCAGCAGUGGGGAAUAUUGCACAAUGGGCGGAAGCCUGAUGCAGCAACGCCGCGUGCGGGAUGACGGCCUUCGGGUUGUAAACCGCUUUCGCCUGUGACGAAGCGUGAGUGACGGUAAUGGGUAAAGAAGCACCGGCUAACUACGUG
rnacentral:rRNA from 1 species